AGAGUUUGAUCCUGGCUCAGAACGUACGCUGGCGGCACGCCUAACACAUGCAAGUCGAACGAAGUAGCAAUACUUAGUGGCAGACGGGUGAGUAACAUGUAGGUAUCUACCCUUUGGCCUGGAAUAACACGAGGAAACUUGUGCUAAUACUGGAUAAGUCUUUACGGAGAAAGCUUUAUGCACCAUUGGAUGAGCCUGCACUUGAUUAGUUUGUUGGUAGGGUAAUGGCCUACCAAGACUUUGAUCAAUAGCUGAUUUGAGAGGAUGAUCAGCCACAUUGGGACUGAGACACGGCCCAAACUCCUACGGGAGGCAGCAGUGGGGAAUCUUGCACAAUGGAGGAAACUCUGAUGCAGCGAUGCCGCGUGAGUGAAGAAGGCCUUUGGGUUGUAAAGCUCUUUCGUCGGGGAAGAAAAUGACUGUACCCGAAUAAGAAGGUCCGGCUAACUUCGUGCCAGCAGCCGCGGUAAUACGAAGGGACCUAGCGUAGUUCGGAAUUACUGGGCUUAAAGAGUUCGUAGGUGGUUGAAAAAGUUGGUGGUGAAAUCCCAGAGCUUAACUCUGGAACUGCCAUCAAAACUUUUCAGCUAGAGUUUGAUAGAGGAAAGCAGAAUUUCUAGUGUAGAGGUGAAAUUCGUAGAUAUUAGAAAGAAUACCAAUUGCGAAGGCAGCUUUCUGGAUCAUUACUGACACUGAGGAACGAAAGCAUGGGUAGCGAAGAGGAUUAGAUACCCUCGUAGUCCAUGCCGUAAACGAUGUGUGUUAGACGUUGGAAAUUUAUUUUCAGUGUCGCAGCGAAAGCAAUAAACACACCGCCUGGGGAGUACGACCGCAAGGUUAAAACUCAAAGGAAUUGACGG
rnacentral:rRNA from 1 species